rnacentral:rRNA from 1 species
UACGGAGGGUGCGAGCGUUGUCCGGAAUCACUGGGCGUAAAGGGCGCGUAGGUGGCGACCCACGUCAACGGUGAAAGCUCGACGCUCAACGUCGAGUCGGCCGUCGAUACUGGGUUGCUCGAGCACUGUAGAGGCAGAUGGAAUUCCGGGUGUAGCGGUGGAAUGCGUAGAGAUCCGGAAGAACACCGGUGGCUAAGGCGGUCUGCUGGGCAGUAGCUGACACUGAGGCGCGACAGCGUGGGGAGCAAACAGG